GACGUCAAGUUCAAGGCCGGCCACAGCCUCUGCUUUGCCGGAUAUAUAUCUACCUCCUCUCCCGCCUCCUCUAGACUCGUUCGGCUCUAACGCGCGCGCGCUACCCCUUUUUCGAUGGGGGAAGAUGAGGCCGCCGCCCUUCCGCCGCGUUUCCGGGGAGGAACCGGGGCGAGAGACGGACGUUCGCGGCCGCCUGGUGACUCCGUUCGCCGACCCGAAGGGAGGGGUGGCUACAUCAAGUGGAGCAGUGGUCGGCGGACGACCGGCUGCUGCACCACCUGAUGUAGCAGAAGGCCCGGCAGACGAGGCCGACCGCGUCGACGUGCUCGCUGCGCGCGCUGGGGUGGGACACGUUUGGCCUGGAGACCGGCGCGCCGACCCAGCGGGAGACGCUGCCGCUGCCCCAUGCGGGCCUGCUGCGGCCGCUCUAGUCGAAGAAGGUGUGCGCCUGCCGGUCCGCGGAGGCGCAGGCGGACGGCCUCGAGGCCGCGGUGUCCUAGCAGCCGAAGUGGGUUCCUGACUAGUAAGAAGACUUGUUUGCGUGGCGGCGGCAGGCCCACGACGUAGGGAAGUGCGCCCAGCACCAGCUGGAGGGCAGGGAGCAGGGACACAAGGUGCUGCGGCAGUCCUUGGCGUUGAGAGACGAACUGUACUUACGGCGCCAGACGUCGCGCAGCAGGCGCCGCUGGAGGUAACGGCACCACCGGACCAAGGGGACCUGCGCGCACCACUAGCCGCGGCUCCGACCGGCGGGUUGAACCCUCCAGGAGGUGGCUCCCGAGAAGGAAUCCUCGUAGGACGGGAAGGUUCCUUCCGAAAUGCGGUGGCAGCGGUACCCACCGAGUUCUCUCUAGUACGUCGACAUGGGCUCUAGUGGUGUAGGACACGAACGAGUACAAGGUUUACUAAAACCAUUAGGCUCGGAUACGUUGAUGAAGGAGCAUCUCAGGCCACCCGCUCACGACGAACGGCAGGUGGUAAAUUGACGUGUUGUAACACCGCACCUCGGGAAGGUCGUUUUACGGAUAUUCGAGAAACGCAACCUGUAGCUGGCGCCACUCGACUAGGGUCACUUGACGGAGCCACCGGUGCGCGACAAGGAGUUGUCCCUGGAGGGAAGACACUCGUCGCUGAGGUAAAUGAAGAGAAACGCGGCACUGGGACAACACCACGUGAGGUAUUCCUGUCCAAAGAGACUCGCCUAUCCUAGGCUGGGAGGCACGCGGGAAAGUGGUAACGGCUGGUAGAAGAUUGGAUGACGGUAGGAGUACUCACCUGUUUUCCUGAGUACAAAGUACUCAUGGUGAGAUAUGGACUUAGAAAGCUCCUUAACUGGUUCUUGUAGUUCCGUUUUUUAAGACUUGAUGCCUAAGGAGCGUAACGCCAAGCAACUAACCUUCCUUCUUUGUCCCGGUGUCGUGAAGUGUGACCGGUCACUUAUUACGGUUAUCUGUCAACUGCGUAUUAAGGGAACGACCGAGUCAACCCUAGAAACACACCGAUCCGGUUAAGUAACCACCGAGGGUUGCGUUGCG
rnacentral:rRNA from 1 species